GAUGAACGCUGGCGGCGUGCCUAAUACAUGCAAGUCGAGCGAACGGACGAGAAGCUUGCUUCUCUGAUGUUAGCGGCGGACGGGUGAGUAACACGUGGAUAACCUACCUAUAAGACUGGGAUAACUUCGGGAAACCGGAGCUAAUACCGGAUAAUAUUUUGAACCGCAUGGUUCAAAAGUGAAAGACGGUCUUGCUGUCACUUAUAGAUGGAUCCGCGCUGCAUUAGCUAGUUGGUAAGGUAACGGCUUCCAAGGCAACGAUGCAUAGCCGACCUGAGAGGGUGAUCGGCCACACUGGAACUGAGACACGGUCCAGACUCCUACGGGAGGCAGCAGUAGGGAAUCUUCCGCAAUGGGCGAAAGCCUGACGGAGCAACGCCGCGUGAGUGAUGAAGGUCUUCGGAUCGUAAAACUCUGUUAUUAGGGAAGAACAUAUGUGUAAGUAACUGCGCACAUCUUGACGGUACCUAAUCAGAAAGCCACGGCUAACUACGUG
rnacentral:rRNA from 1 species